UACGAAGGGGGCUAGCGUUGCUCGGAAUCACUGGGCGUAAAGCGCACGUAGGCGGCUUGUUAAGUCAGGGGUGAAAUCCUGGAGCUCAACUCCAGAACUGCCUUUGAUACUGGCGAGCUUGAGUCCGGGAGAGGUGAGUGGAACUGCGAGUGUAGAGGUGAAAUUCGUAGAUAUUCGCAAGAACACCAGUGGCGAAGGCGGCUCACUGGCCCGGUACUGACGCUGAGGUGCGAAGGCCAGGGGAGCAAACGGG
rnacentral:rRNA from 1 species